UGGGGAUAAAGCGUCAGUGGAGUUGGGUAUGUUCGGAGUACAAUCGGGAAAGCAGGCAUGGAUGCCUGCUUUAGGAAAAACAGGCCAGGGACUGGCCUUUUUUUCCGACCGAUUGUGCGGAGAGCAUACCCAACUCCACUGACGAUUUAUCCCCC
rfam:Gammaproteobacteria bacterium SCGC AG-212-F23 AG-212-F23.42, whole genome shotgun sequence.